rnacentral:piRNA from 1 species
UUCGGUGUCAUGGUUAAGAUGUCUCAUU